rnacentral:RNase_P_RNA from 1 species
UCGCAUCAAUAUGAUGAGGAAAGUCCGAGCAUCAAGAGAACUGGGUGCUGGCUAACGGCCAGUGGAGGCGACUCUAAGGAUAGUGCAACAGAAAUAAACCGCCAAAAAUUUUGGUAAGGGUGGAAAGGUAGGGUAAGAGCCUACCGGAUGAGGGGAGAUCUUCAUCGCUCUGUAAACCCCACCUGAUGCAAGGUCAAAAGGGCAUAUGUGCUUGUUCUCUCACGCCCUGAACGCACCGCUUGAACCUUUUGGCAACGAAAGGUCUAGAUAGAUGACUGUCAAAUACAGAACUCGGCUUACAGCAUAAC